AUGUCCCAUUUUUUCCCCCUGCAUUUCCCAUUUUUUUCUGCAUUUCCCAUUUUUCCUGCAGUUCCCAUUUUCCCCCUGCAUUUCCCAUUUUCCCUGCUCCACGUGGGGCUCUCUGGUCCCUGCCUGGGGCUGGACACUCAUUUUUCCAUCUCUGCUCUCUUUAGCAGGUGGUGCAAUCUCAGAGUUGCUAUGAAGAGCUCUCCCUUCUCUCCCUGUCUCCUUUCCUCUCUUGGCUCCCCAUGGAAUUCCCAGGCAGGACUGGCACAGACUGAAUUCUGGAUUCAGGGAGGGAUUUGGGGAAUGACUCUGGAAGAGGGAGCAGCCUCCGUGCUCCUGCUGCCUCUGCACGGACCAGGCACAGCUGGCACAGCUGGACUGAGCUCCAGCUUCUUGGGAUUUUUGGGGACAAAUCCCCAAAGUGACCUGGGCCCCUUCCCUGCCACUCCUGAGCUUCAUCUCCCAAAAUCUCUCGUCAUUCCCGGAUGGAAGAACUGCCCAGAGUGUGAAUUUGGAUUCCUGGCCGUGUCCUUUUCCUUUUGGGAAUUUGGGAAUUCCCAUCUGGCUGAUCCCAGCCCAGGUUUUCAGGAAUUUCCAGUGGGAUGUGAGGAGCUGUGGCCCCUCUGGAAUCUGCUUUGCUUUUAUCUUGGUUUUUCCCACUCUGCCAGUGGCAGAAGGAGCAGCUUUAGAUAAAAAUCUCAUUUUCCAAUGGUUUUUUUCCCAGCCUGUGAUUCCCAAAACUCUGCUGGAGUUCUCUCCUUUCCAGUGGUUUUGUUCCUUCUCUCCUCCAGGAAUAUCCAAGCUCCUCCUUCACUGGGAGAUAAAUUCAAACCAUUGUUUUUUUCUCUGAACUGAAACAAAACUUUUCUAAAGGGUUUCUAUUUUUUCCCACCUCUGGGUUCAAAAAUGGAAGCUGGCAGCUCAUUCCCAACCUUUUAUUCCUCCAGGAUUUCCUGCAGGAGUAGGAAUGGCACUUUCCCUGUCCAGCAGCCACAGCCUGGCACCUCUUAUCCCACACCAACAUCCUGAUGAAAGGAAGUUUCAUUCCUAAAUCCUUUUUUUCUUUCUUUUUUUUUUUCCCCAGGUGGAAUUAUUGAGAUUAUCAGGAGUUACUUAAAUUUUCUGGGCGUGCAGAUUGAGAAAUGGGGAGAGAGAAAAACAUUUGGAAAUCAGAGGUUUUGAAAUUUUUCAAAACUUGAUGUUUUCAUUCCCAGCUUUGGGGUCACUUGGCUUCAUGUUGGGAAAUUUAUGACCACGAGUGUAAAAUUUGGGUUUUUUUUGUUUGUUUGUUUGUUUUAUGGUUUGUUUUUUUUUUUUUUUUGUUUUUUUUGGGGGGGUUUUUUUUUUUUUUUUGUUAUUUUUGCUUGUGCUGGACCUGACUCCCCAAAAUUUAAAAUGCACAGGCCAAGGUUCUGCAGGUUGGAUUAAAGCAUUGAAUUCACCCCAAACUCAGCAUCCCCUGUACAGUGUAAAUUCCCUGCCUUGGUUCAUUCCCAUCCUUCCUUUAUUUCCUGCUUUAUUCUCAUCUUUAUUUUAUUUCCUGGGUUUAUUCCCAUUCUUAUUUUAUUUCCUGGUUUGUUUCCAUCCUUCUUUCCUGCUUUAUUUCCUUCCUUAUUUUAUUUCCUGGUAAUUCUCAUCUUUAUUUUAUUUCUCUGUUUGUUUCCAUCUUUAUUUUCUUUCCUAUUUUAUUCCCAUCCUUAUUUUUUUUCCUGUUUUAUUCCCAUCCUUAUUUUAUUUUAUUUCCUGAUUAUUCCCAUCCUUAUUUUAUUUUAUUUCCUGGUUAUUCCCAUCAUUUUAUUUCCUGCUUUAUUCCCAUCUUUAUUUUAUUUCCUGCUUUGUCCCCAUCCUUAUUUUAUUUCCCCAUUUAUUCCCAUCCUUAUUUUAUUCCCUGGAUUUGUACAAUAUUGGAUCAGCUCCCGCAGUGGUGAUGGUUCUGUGUUUGUAAAUAAAGUGGUACCUUCCAUUUCCUAAAAUCCACGGGUAAAUCUUGGCUUUUCCAUGGAAAGUUGGGGGUUUCUGUCCUGCUGGAAUUCAGGAAUCCUUCAAACACGCCGUGUUUGGGGAUUUUAGAGUAAUUUUUGUUGGUUUUAUUGAAGGGAGAGGAGUAAAUCUGGAGUAAUACCAAACCCUGAGUGCUCUGGGAAUGGAAUUCCUGGAGAGUUUGUGGCUGCCCCAUCCCUGGAAGUGUCCCAGGCCGGGCUGGAUGGGGUUUGGAGCACCUGGGAUGGUGGAAUGGGUGGGAUUUAAAUCCCAAACCUGUCUGGAAUUCCCAAAUCCCUGAGUGCACUGGGAGCCAGGCUGGGAAUGGGGAGCUGAAAAAGGGAAGGGCAACUCCAGGGGGAUUUGGGAUGGAAAUUCCUACUGGAGUCUGGGAAUUCUUCAGUUCAGUUUAAGGAGCAGCUCCAGGGGGAUUGGGGAUGGAAAAUCCUCCUGGAGUCUGG
rnacentral:lncRNA from 12 species